AGUCAGUGCAGCUCUUAGGUGGCCAUUUUGAAACCAGUUGUUGUUUGCUGCAUUUCCAUCUUUCCCAGAUGGACUUUCUCCAUCUGCCCAUUCUGUAUCUACCAGCAGAGAUUUUCCCCUUGACAACAGAACCACAUGCUGUCACUGGAGAGUCCCUGGACAUUAAAGAUGUUUGAGCAGAUUGAAAGAGAGAGCAUGAGGCAACAGCUGCUCUCUGUGAAGUUCAGUAAAGCAGAGACAGCAGUGAAGCAGAAACCUCUGUUUGAUCCCAAGUCCUUUUCCCUUUCCACCAUCAUCUACUUCAUCUCAGACUGAGAGGCCAGAUUCUUGCAGCUGUCUGAAAUGAGCAGUUAUCAUACACAGAGGCCCAGAGGAUGAUUACAAAAGAAAAAGCUCCUUAUCUGACAUGAUGGAUUAACAAUGGGGCAGGAGGACAUAAAAAUUCAAUUCACAGUAUGAGAUGGAAAGACUUUCAGAAAAACCAGGUCCCAGUGUGUGGCCCCUGGAUGGUAUCACCUUCCUAUUUUGGAAGCUCCUUAUCAAAACUCAUGUCCCAAAGGAAAUGCUGAAAGAGAACAGUGGCAAGAAUACCACAAGAAGCGACUUUCGGAUGAGCAUCUCAGGUCAGUGAAGGAACAGUCAAACCCAAUGAAUGAUCUUUCAAGUUAACUUCAUAAUCUUGUCUCUGUAUAUUUUUGGGCAAGUUAGCUAGUCUGAGAGUUGAAAACUGAGCCAAUUGCUACAUGAAAGUGUAAAACCUUAGUGUCUUCCUGGUACAAGAGAGGCAGGAGGGAAUUCUCUUCUCCAUUGCCCUGUCCCAGGAGGACUCCAGCAAGCGUGCUUUAUAUCUGACUCCUUAACAAAAAGAAUGUAGUGGGGAAUUUGUCACCAUGAUCCAUGUAAUUUUCAAACAUUUUAUCCUGAUAUUUCUUCUGUAAUGAUGUUGUUUUUCAAAAAAACAUAAUAAAACAUUUUUAACUACAA